GUGCUCACUUCAGCAGCACAUAUACUAAAAUUGGAACCACACAGAGCUUAUCAUGACCCCUGAGCAAGGAUGACAUGCAAAUUUGUGAAGUGUUCCAUUAAAAA